GCGGUGCGGCCCCACCACCGAACGAUCUAGCAGCUCCAGGAUAACACACGAACUGCCCAUAUCUUUUUCCGGAGGGCGUCCUCCUCUCCCUCCCUGGCCGACGAGGCAGAGGCGGCCAUCAUGCCGCCCCUCUCCGAUAGCAAGGCAGCCAUCAGGCGCCCUCCUCCCCUUCCGAAGCGCUGCUUCUUUCCAUCCCGAGUCGGCGGGCUCCCAAGGCGGCUAAUGGCGCGGAGGAGGACAUGGGCGCCCUCCUCUCCCUCCCCAGCAGCACGGCCAUGGGGGAGCCAACGGGAGGAGUUCGGCGCCCCCUUCUCAUUCCCAAGGUAAUUAAUUGUGUGGAGGAGGACAUGAGCGCCCUCCUCUCCCUCUUGAUGCAACGUGGCCGUGGGAGGAUCCGACGCGGCCGAUGCUCCCUUCCGGAUGCAUCUACGGACAGAUGCAUCACCGUUCACGUCUUGAACCCUGUAUCUCUCUGUCUAGGGUAUUUUGCAUCUGCACAAGAUGGUAAGACUACUUUUUGUUUCUUUCUGUGCAUGGAGAAGCGACCAUGAACUAUUAAAGUUCUUGCAGUAAUCUAACCAAACAGUGGCUGGGGAUACAAUGAGAAAUAUCCAUGGUUGCUCCAGUUGUAUUUCGCAAAAGAUGGGCAUAUACAUAGUACUCUAAAUAUUCCUGUAUUAAGGAGCAUCUGCGUGAAACCAAAUUGCUAAUUAAUGGUUGAAUGCAUAUAGUGUCUGCUUGCUUCUACUGAUUGUCAAUGUAUAUGCUUUAGUUAAGUCUCGGUUAAAAUUCAUAUAGACUCUACUUUGAAUACUUCUGAUUAAGUUUGUAUUUUCCCUAUUUUUUCAGGCAUUGCUACAAAAUAUGUAGAGGGAUAAGAUGUGCAGUGACUUGCCAAUUUACAAUUUAAUCUACUGGUUAGAUCUUUCUUCAAUUAACACUACACAACUAUCAUGUUUUCAGAUGUAUAUAUCCACAGGGCUUUAUGCAUCAGAUGGCGUUGGUGGUGAGAGAGAUUAGCUUCAUUUUUGUUGUAGUUGUUAGAUUUGGGGAUUUUUAUUGGUAUUGCAAAUUGUUCAUAAGGAGAAAAAGGUAGAGCUAUAUGGUUUCCCAAGGUGUUCUCAUAAUAAAUGAUUGGGUGCUUGAUCAUAUAUGUGGUUCGGAGGCCUAAACUAUAAUUCGGAUUAAAAGUAAGACCAUCUUGGUUGGUCCAUAGACAGCCAAGCAAAGGGUGCAUGCUUAUAAUUAUUACUUGGUGAGUUGGGUUCCUCUUUUAUUCUCAACAAGCUUGCAGCAACAUAAUACCCAUACUUCUAAAUAUCGAUUGGUGUACUCUAUGCGGCGAGGAUUUAUUCCUUGGCAUAUUAACAAUGCUUCUCCUUUCGGUGAUAUCCUAUUUUCUGCCCAUUAAUUACAAUACAUUAUAUUUGAUCUGUCCAACAUGAGCCAAUUAAAAAUAUUAGCAUACAAUGCCUUAUGACUUUCUUUUCCUCGACUACCUUCAUGCAUGGCUGCAAUUUUCAAAUUGUUCAAUAUUCACCUAUUAUCACUGGUGUCGCUCAAGCAGCGGUUUUACAGGAUAUGUUAAACUAUUACAAUUUGACUGAGAAACGAAACUACACUGUUACAAUUUGACCGAAAGAUGAAGGGUUUAAAUGUUACAGGAUAUGUCGCUCAAAUGAUUUUGUUAUUAUGGUAAGAUUAUGCAGAGCAUGCAUAUAUUCAAGAUGAUGAGUUACAGUUUAAUAAUUUUCUCUUGCUUUUCCUGAUAAAAUGUGUACCAUGAUCAGUUAAAGUUUAGUAAUUUUCUCUUGCUUUUCCUGAUACUGUGUGUAUCAGACAUUAAUCGAAAAUCUAAAUUAUGAUUCUCUUGAUUAUGGUAUGUCUUAGAUGCAGAGAGGAAGGGUGAAACAUGGUGAUAAAUCUUUCCCAUGUUUGGUCUUCUGUUCUCUUAUCCAAUUUGUCUGUUAUGCCAGGAUCAGUUCUCAGAAUCAGUUCUAUACGCAAGACAAUGAAGCUUCUACCUAUUCUACUACUGCAUGCAGUUGCUACAUGUUAAAGUUUCCCGAGCCGGUAAAUUUGAAAUGCCUGGUUCUACAGUGCCCAUCUAAUGGUCACACGUGUUAGCGAAUGGGUUCUGGAAGCCAGGAUUAUGACAGGGACCACAUUGGUGAACCCGUGUGCAUACCAAUAACUGUUUUGCACGCACCGGCCACCAAGUGGCCUUUCACGUUUCAGCGCCGUUAGUAUACAGUUGGGCUAUACUAUGCAAUGACUAUCAACAAGUGCCAAGGUCAGACACUUCAGAAGGUCGGGGUUUACUUGCCAAAACUGAUGUUCUUGCAUGGGCAGUUUUAUGUUGCGAUCUCAAGGGUAACAUCAAGGGAAGGGCUCCAAGUGCUAGCGCUCGAUGGAUCUGGCAAGGCAACUACCUAAACAAGAAACAUAGUGUACUGUGCGGUUCUUGGCCAUCUCUACCUCUUGGCAGGAUCACUGAAUCUGAUGUUCCUUUUGGUGUUGUGCUAUGUGGCGUGGGUUUAGAAAUGGACAACCAUUGAUUUGUUGCAGCUGCCGCAACUCUCUCAUCGUUGAUAUAUCAUGUGUCAGGUUUAGCAGCGUGCAUAACCGUGUUUAGUGUAAAGACACUGAAGCUAAUGGAGGUGAUUUCCGACUUUACAUGUUGCGUACAACACCCUGAAAUCCCAAGACAUAGUCGCCUAAUCUGCAUAACAAGGGCGUAUGGCUAGAGCCCAGUUUUCUUAUCAAUUGCCUUUACCUACUAUCUACUCUAUGGUAUAUGUUAGUGCGUGUCUGACAUAAACAGAUGUAUAAGACACUGAAGCUUUUGUGCUCCCUUUUCUUAUAUAUGCUUGCAUCCGAUUCAAUGGAGAACUGAACUAAACUGUACUGUGUUGUUAUUGUCUCUUUCUGACAACAAUCUGCACGUUUCCA